UAUAGAAUGUCUCCUUUUCGCGCAAUACUUUCUCUUCUCUUCUCUUUUCUUUUUCUUUUUUUCCCGCAAUUUUCAUAACGAAACAAGAAUUUUUGUGCUUCAGCCAUGGCUCCGAGAAGAGUCUCACCUCGAUCUACAAUUAGGAUUCCUCCACUCUCUUGCCGUUUUUACCAACCUCAGCUUCGACGUUUCCUCUCUCAACCGCCUCUUCGACACUUCGGCAUUCCUGUUCUUCAAGGACCUCACCGUCGAUCGCAUCACCUUUAGAUUCUCCACCUGGUUCCCUCCGGCCUUCACGAUCGAAUUUCACGGCGUGCAUGUCGUGUAAUCGUUCGAGAAGCCAGAAGCUGAGGAAUGUGUGGCGCGGUUGCGAAAUGCGAAGAAGUAUGAUCACUCGAAUUAUAUGAGAAAAAAAACUAUGGGCGCUUGAUCUUGAGGUAACGAAUGCACUUCUCCGAGUUUGAAUUUACUAUUCAUACUUAAGUUGACGAGGAGUGUUGGUCUUACCGAACAUUAUAAUAACUUACAGAUAUAUGAUGACACUAUUACUGAUAACAGUUUUGUCUUGUUAUCUUGCUUAUGGUAGAUGAAAAUAAUGAUGAUUCGUGGGAAAAUUUAUAGAAUUGUUGGAGUUUUUCUAUGGAUCUUGAAUGUUUCUCCAAUUUCAUUUUCAACAGCUAAUUUUGAUUUGAAUUCUUAUUUUCUAUUUGAUAUUGUUUCCGCCAUUCAAAUUCAUCUCUUCUCUUCUUAAUAUUUCUUCAAAUUAACCAAAGUUUAAACUUAAUUUGAUGAGAAUAACACUUGUUCUUGCAGCAACACUGGUUUCUUUGGUGGAUUCACUCUAAAAAUUAGAGAAUUCAAUGUCAUCAAUUCAGGAUUAAGUGACUACAAUGUCAGCCUUAAUUCAAAAGAACAAGAAUUAAGCUCUUCAUUUUGCAUUUCAGCUUUUGACUUAAUUUGAAAAUUUCCAAUAAUAUUUGCAGUUGUGAACAAGCCUCUGGGCUCUCCAAUAUCUACUAAAAUUGAUGAGUUGUCUCCUGUUUUCCCUCUACAACCACAACCCUUUCUUCCUCUUAUAGCUCUUUUCCCCAUUGAGACCUUUCACAAAUAAUUCUUUGCCCAAACUAUCAAGUAUGGUUUAUUUUUCCUUUUACAUUAUGAUUCUUUUUUAAAUUUGUUUAUGAGACCAAGAUGUAUUGUAAAUUGUAAUGUAUUGAUGAGAUGCUGAUAAAACAUAUACCAAUAAUUUCUAUUGAUACUGAUCAUAAUCUAAACUAAUUAGGGAAAUAGAACAUGAUAAGAUAAAGAAAUAGGGAAAUAGAACAUGAUAAGACAAGGAAAUAGGAUAAGAUAAGAUGUAUUUACUUAGUUGGUUGAAAUUUGAAAGUGACCACUGAGAUCUUUUUCGGUACGUUAUUAAUUAGGAUGGUGACAACGUAAGAGGACCAAUUUUCUCUUCUGUCUCCAUAUAUUUUCACAUCACAUUCCUCUUCUGGUUUACUUUCAAGGACCAAAACACGCACAACACAACCAACGAAACUUCUCCUUCCUUCCUUAUUAUUAGCUGAUAGAGUAUGGAGGGUUUAUGAGGGAAAAAGAAGAGUUAAAUGAGAAGGAGAAACCUAACUUUAAUAACAGUUAGGCAGUUAGGAGAGGCGCGGGAAAAGAGUUCAUAUAAAGACAGGACUCUGUUGGAGUGUGUACAUUGAGAAGAGAAAUCAAUAACAGAUCCAGUCUUUUGUUAUCUGUGUUCUUGUUUGGGUUUGUUAUCUGUGUUCUUGUUUGGGUGUGCGUGUGGGGAGUUUAGAUACUAUUGUUAUCUGAAACUAAAAUGUUUCUUUAACAUCCCUAUAUGACACAAAUUUGACACCGGCCAGGUGUCAAAUUUCUAUUGGAUUUUUUUAGUUAAAUGAAAAAGGUUUUUAAAAAAGCUACGAGGGUAGAAUAAGAAUUCUGAUUAUAUGAAAUUUCAUUUGGCGGUUUCGUUUUCUUCUCUUUCACUUUGGUUCUGAAGGUUCUUCUCUCCCAUCACUCUUUCCAAUCCCGGUUGCUUCAUCUCUCCAAUCCCUUGCUUUCUCCAUUCGGGUUUCGUCUCAUCUCAACCAAAAAAAGAGUUCUUUCACAAUCACUCUAUUGAGGUAAGCUCUAUUUUGCGUAUCUUGUUUUGGGUGUCUUUGACGUUGUGGCUGUGUUUCGGCAUUUCGCUCUCUUUCGCAUUGUCUGGCUUCUCUUUCGCUCUCUUUGGCGUUUUGGGUCUCUUUGGCGUUAUUUAUUCAUUUUGUGUUUUGUGAACCCUAAGCCACCAUUGAUUUUUUGGUCUCUUUCGUGUUUUGGUUUUUUGUGCAGUUGCAAUGGCUUCCGGAAUCCCAAAGUGGAGGGUCCGAAUCUCUAUGGAUUCAUCAAACGCUGUUGAAAUGAAUCGUGUGCUGAGAAAAGUCCAUGUACAACGAAUUGCAAUGACACCAUUUAGAAGGAGUGUGGGUACCCAAAGACAACAGACACAACCAACAGAGUCAACACAGACAAGUGCAGCAUAAUGAUCAACCAAGUUCUUCUGCAACACUAGAUGAUGUCAUACAACGCAUUGACCAACUCCAGACGUACAUUGGUACAAGAUAGGACGACCUAGAAGCACGAGUUGGUAACAUUGAGAACCGACUACAGCAAUCUCCCACCCCAUUUUAUCAUUUCACUUCAUAGUUUUAAAUUGGUGUUGACAUGUAUUUGCUUUCAUUUGGAACUUGUAUGCAUUACUGCAAUAUUGUACUGUUUUUAUUACUUCAA